GACGAACGCUGGCGGCGUGCUUAACACAUGCAAGUCGAACGGUAAGGCCCUUCGGGGUACACGAGUGGCGAACGGGUGAGUAACACGUGGGUGAUCUGCCCUGCACUUCGGAAUAAGCCUGGGAAACUGGGUCUAAUACCGGAUAGGACCCUGGGAUGCAUGUCCUGGGGUGGAAAGCUUUUGCGGUGUGGGAUGGGCCCGCGGCCUAUCAGCUUGUUGGUGGGGCGAUGGCCUACCAAGGCGACGACGGGUAGCCGGCCUGAGAGGGUGACCGGCCACACUGGGAAUGAGCUACGGCCCAGACUCCUACGGGAGGCAGCAGUGGGGAGUAUUGCACAAUGGGCGCAAGCCUGAUGCAGCGACGCCGCGUGAGGGAUGACGGCCUUCGGGUUGUAAACCUCUUUCAGCACCGACGAAGCGCAAGUGACGGUAGGUGCAGAAGAAGGACCGGCCAACUACGUGCCAGCCGCCGCAGUAA
rnacentral:rRNA from 1 species